AACAAACGCUGGCGGCGUGCCUAACACAUGCAAGUCGUACGAGAAAGGGUCCUUCGGGACCUGAGUAAAGUGGCGCACGGGUGAGUAACGCGUGGAUAAUCUGCCCUUCAGUUGGGAACAACUCAUCGAAAGGUGGGCUAAUACCGAAUAACACUGCAAGACUUUGGUCGAGCAGUCAAAGAGAGCCUCUGCUUGCAAGCCCUCGCUGAAGGAUGAGUCCGCGUACCAUAGCUAGUUGGCAGGGUAAUGGCCUACCAAGGCGACGAUGGUUAGCUGGUCUGAGAGGAUGAUCAGCCACACUGGAACUGAGACACGGUCCAGACUCCUACGGGAGGCAGCAGUGAGGAAUCUUGCGCAAUGGGGGAAACCCUGACGCAGCAACGCCGCGUGAGUGAGGAAGGCCUUCGGGUCGUAAAGCUCUGUCAGUUGGGAAGAAAUGCCUGAGAGUGAAUACCUUUCAGGUUUGACGGUACCAACAGAGGAAGCACCGGCUAACUCCGUGCCAGCAGCCGCGGUAAUACGGGGGGUGCAAGCGUUGUUCGGAAUUAUUGGGCGUAAAGAGCGUGUAGGCGGCCGGAUGUGUCAGAUGUGAAAGCCCUGGGCUUAACCCAGGAAGUGCAUUUGAAACUGUCCGGCUUGAGUAUGGGAGAGG
rnacentral:rRNA from 1 species